GCGGAAGCGCCUGGGGCACGUGCUUGGACCUGUCGGGGGUUUUCCUGUCGGCCAGAUGCGAGUUUGCAGAUGUGAGCUGAGAAAUCAGACUCCUGUCCCUUCAUACAGCCAGGGCCCUCCAGGAUUGGGAGGUCAACAAGCACCCAACCAGGCCAUCCUCAUCUGACCCAACCAAGACAUAGGAGGAGAAGCCAGAAGAAUCACUGGCUGUUCCCGCACCGAGCAAGCAAUUGAUGGGCAGAUACGUUAAAUUGCAGCGCUUCGGUGAGCCUCCGAGACCAUGGGUUUGCCACCCACACAUGGCAGUUUCACGGGAUUACUCUCUCUCCCAUCAGUUCCCAAGAUCUCAGAAAGAUGAGCUUUGGAUUCAUGCCCAAGAUUUUACAAAAGGGCAAACUCCUGCGUUUCCUUCCUUGGCCUGGGUUUGUCCUUCCCGGAGCUGUGGGACCGUUGGUGGAUUUCCCCAGUAACGACAUGCCAACCCCGGCCGUGUGGUGGACUUAGGGAAGAUCCAGGAAGGGACAGUGGUAACAACAGUCACACUUGGGUUUCUUCCAGAGGAUCUCAAAGCACCCUGUAAAUGAAGUGGCUAAUAGUGUGUUGUCCAAACUGGAACGCUUUUGAUCGUGAACAGUAUAGUGUUGGUCUUCAUAAUUGCCAUAAGGCGACAGAAUUGUCCCCGGCACAUCAGGAUAUCUGGUCACCCUGCAUGUCCACCCACAGACUGCAUCGGGGCACAUGUCUUAGGAGCUGUUGAGGCAGAGCUGGAGAUAAAGGAAGCCGAGUAGGCCCUGACUCUUCCGCUGCUUUUCCAGAACCUCACUUUGUUUUGGUUGUCACCCUCCCUGUAUGCUGCCGAUCAUCUGGGCUUGGUCUUGGAUCGCUCAUUUGCAGGGGUUCAGACAGGACUUUGGGACUGAGGUGAAUCAGGAGUGUACUGGGUCAUCUACCAUGCAAACAGGCACGGCCCAAUGUUGAAAUCACACAAAAGACCAGUAAACCCCAUCAACACUGGGGACAUCCCACAGGCUGAAAUUCUUGGGGCAGAGAUACGCGUUCUGGCUGACCUCAGUUACGAAACUGUGCCCUGGCUGGCUCCACCCACCUCUGCAGAGAUACAUGGUUGGAGCUCAUCACCGAGAGAUUCUCUGCUGGGGCUUCUAGAAGGAGAUCUGGCACACACAGGGGCCUGGUUGCUUCUCUGAACUCUCAAAAAUGUCUAAAUGUUUCAGUGUCCUCCCCUGCUCUCUGUACACGCUUGCCCACAGUGUCUCCGGAUUGGAACCUAGCCAUGGGGGAUGAAGUAGGGUGGACUGUGGGCAAGCAGGAAGGCACCUCCAACUUCCAAAUUCGUCUGCUGCCUUCUGACAACUUCUCCUCUUUCCUCCCUCAUCUGCGUCCUGAUGUCAUGUCUUCUCGCUCCCUUCUUGCUGCAAACUCCUUCUUUUUCUCAUUGAUCUCAAGUGAGGAGGGCUUGAGUGUGAGACAGAGGCUGAAAGUGAAUGAAAACUUAAUUCUCUUUUCAUGGAAGAGGUACAGGGUCAAGAAAGUUUUCUUAGAGAAACUGAGAUAGGGGGGCCCCUGGGGGGCUCAGUGUGUUAAUGCCUCUGCCUUCAGCUCAGAUCAUGAUCCUGGGGUCCUUGGGAUCAAGCCCCACAUUGGGCUCUCUGCUCAGCAGGGAGCCUGCUUCCCCUUCUCUCUCUGCCCACCUCUCUGCCUACUUGUGAUCUCUGUCUGUCAAAUAAAUAAAUAAAAUCUUAAAAAAAAAUUUUAUAAAAAGUGAGUUAGAAAUAGGGUCUUGAAAGAUGAGAGUUGGUCAGGAAGUAAGGAGAAGGGACAAGCUCCUGGGAGAGCGUUGUUAACCGGGGAACUACAAGUUCAUGAGCAGAGCUGACACCUGUGAUGAAGGACCAAGUCCUGUGAAAGGUGAGGUUGGCAGGCAGGCAGGGACCAAAGGAGCGUGGCAGCCAUUCCAUCCAUUUGAAGGAAGGUGGACUGUCCUGAGGGCAAUGGGAGCCUUAAAGGAUCUUAAAUAGGGAAAUGACAUGGACAGUUCAAAAGUGUUUCAGAAGACGCUGAGUCCCUGUGAAGGCUAGACGAGAAGGAGGUGAGAAAUGAGCCAGGGAGGCCCAUAAGGCGAUGUUCCCAGGAGACCAGGAAAGAGGUGAUGGCAGGCAGUAGCUGUGGGGCUGAAAAGUAGAUGAUGGAUUUCAGAGUUUUUGAGCACACAGAAUCUACCGGCCUUGAUGACCAGUUGGCUUCUGGAGGUGGGGUCCAGAGUGCAGCGGAAAGGGAGGGAGGAGUCACGGAUGUCUCUAGGCUUCUGGGUUGGAGGACUCACUAGGAUAAUUCAUUCAGGAGGAGCUGCGGGGUGAGGGGCAGGGAGGGGUAGUGAAUUCCAUUUCAAACUAGUUGGAUUUGAGUUACCUGAGGAACAUCCGAGCGGAAGUAUCCAGAAGGCAGCUGGACACCAAGGGCAGAAGAGAGACCAGGGUUGGAGAUGGCGAAGGGAGGGUCUUCAGUCUAGAGAGAGCUUGAGAACAAGCGCAGGUUCGGGACCUCAGGGACACCCACAUUUGAUGGUGACUGUCAGCCCACAAAGAGCAUCAUUCUGAAAGGAAUAAUCAGAGAUGUAGGGUGAGACUUUCAAGGAGGAGGGCGCCAUGAUAUGCCCAGGCUGGGCCUCCUUUCUGCAAGGCCAAGGGAGACCAGAGAGGCGAGGAAACACCUGGAGCAGAAAAUGGAGAAAGGUUUCAAGAAAGGCCAGGUAGGCUGAAGUUUUAGUACUCCACCCGCUUCUCCAUACCCCAGAAAAUGUGUGACUGGUUCCCUCGAGUCCUUCUUGGAGGGGUUGAGAAUUCUGUGCAUUGCUAAAGAAAUGAAUUUGGGGACUAGGAAGGCUCAAGGAGUAAAGAAUUCACGGCACAGAUUAAAAUAGUUUUCAACAGUCGUUGCCUUUCAUUCUUCCCAGGGGGACUUCAGAGCCAUUUCCUGGCUAGAGUGGAGCCCAGAGAAAAGCAAGCCUGCUUAGAACACUAUAAUUUAGAGGAUCCAGGACUCGCCUUGCAGUUUGAAUCUCGGAUCUGCCUUCGAUCAUUAAAAUGAAUCUUAAUAACUAAUUAUUGAGCACUAACUGCAUGUCAGACACUUGACACCAUCCUCUCCAUUAAUCGUCACAGGAACUGAAGACAUGAGGACUAUUUUUAGCCCCUCUUCUGCAUGCGAGGUAACCAAGGCUCAGAGCCGCAGCUAUGUUAAGGGGCUGUGACUAUAACCUAGAUCAGUUUUCUUCCCGUGCGACACGAGAGGUCACACUACCCCAUAUGCUCUCUGAAGUUUCCCCCCUAAAGUCCCCCCGAGAGCAGAGAGGGGUGGACAGGUCGCUCUGGAGGAACUGAGGACGGGACGGGUGGCAGCCCCAAGCCCCUCCUACAUCUCUGAAGUCGGAGGUUUUCUCAUAAAAGUUUAUUUACAUUUGCGUUCUCCUUCACCCAGCCCUGUUUUCUUCAUUUUGUUUAUUUACUUUCUUACUUAUUUUAGAGCCCAACACAGGGCUUGAACUCAUGACCCUGACAUCGAGACCUGAGCUGUCAGAUGCUUAACCAACUGGGCCACCCAGGCUUGCCUCCCCAAUCCCCCACCCCCACCCCGGGCGCCAGCGCCGUUUGUUUUAAUUAAAUGAUAAUGCUGAAAAUGAAUGAGAGUUGAGAGAAAGGGGGAGUCCUUGGGAAGUGUGUCGUUCUCACUGUAUAGCUUCAGGAGCCCCUGGUAGCCCAGUGUGGACCCCUGGGACUUUGAGGGGACCCCGUGGAGGGAAUGGAUCAUCUCUCAGGCGCUUUGCAGCUCUGGAUCUCCCUGGAUCUUGUUGGAUCUGGCUCUCCAUUUCUGAGGCUGUGAUAAGGCAAGUCAAAGGUGGAGGGGCGGUUGUGGUGGGGCACCUGAUAUGGUUCAGGGGGCACCUGGCUGGCUCAGUCUAUAGAGCUUAUGACUCUUGAUCUUGGGGUCAUGAGUUCGAGGCCCACAUUGGGCAUAGCAAUUACCUAAAAAGGAGGGAGAAGGUGGUGUGCUAUGGAAUGGGGCCCAGCUCUCCUGAGCUGGGCUCUUGGUCUCUGUAGUCACAUUUCCCAAGGAGGAACCCUGAGAAUCCCUCCCUCAGGGUUUGCAGGAGAAAUGAGACUGAUUGGCCAAAGGCAAAAGAAAAACCAAAAUAUCUGCAAGUGAAUGUCAUGAAGAUACUUGGAGGCAAGAAAAAAGGAAAUCCAUCUGGAAAGAGUCGGAGGGGACACUACAAAGGGCUCUGGAUGAGGAAAUUUGUUCUGAUUUUCAGGCUGACAUUAGCACCGUGAAACACAAAGAAUGUUCCAAAGGGAGCUUGAAAGGGGCGCCUGGGUGGCUCAGUGGGUUGAACGACUGCCUUCGGCUCAGGUCAUGAUGCUGGAGUCCCGAGAUCGAGUUCCGCAUUGGGCUCUCAGCUCCACGGGGAGUCUGCUUCUCUCUCUGACCUUCUCCUCACUCAUGCUCUGUCUCACUUUCUCUCUCAAAUAAAUAAAUAUUUAAAACAAAACAAAAAAACGUGUUUUCAGGGGCUCCUGGGUGGCUCAGUGGGUUAAAGCCUCUGCCUUCAGCUCGGGUCAUGAUUCCAGAGUCCUGGGAUCGAGUCCCACAGGCAGGGAGCCUGCUUCUUCCUCUCUCUCUGCCUGCCUCUCUGCCUAGCUGUGAUCUCUGUCAAAUAAAUAAAUAAAAUCUUAAAAACAAAAUGAAAACGUGUUUUCAGGGGCCCCUGGGUGGCUCAGUGGGCUAAGCGUCUGCCUUCAGCUCAGCUUGUGAUCCCAAGGUCCCGGGACUGAGCUCCAUACCUGGCUCCCUGCUCAGCAGUCUGCUUCUCCCUCUCCAUUUGCCUCUCCCCUGCUCAUGCUCUUUUUUUCCCCCCUCUCUCUCUCAAAUAAAUAAAACUUUAAAAAAGAUAAAAAAAUAAAAUCUGUUUUCACUAUUUCCGGUCUAGGACACCACCUUUGCAGCUCCAGCCUCUCUGUGAUCAUCUGGCCAGAGAGCAAUGUUUUAAGGCAGUGAAGUAGAGUGGAAAUAACCAGACUUUAGGCAAUACCUUUGACCCCUCUGUUCCAUCCGGGCCGAUUGUAUGAAAUUAGCCUUGGAGAAGAAAGGGUUAGCUGACUUUUGGAGAAAUCGAUCUAAAAACAAGCUGAAGACUAGACAGGAAGGUCUCAGAGGGAAGGGAUUGCAGCUUACUCUCCUUUGUAGCUCACGCGGGGCCCUACAGGGAGCAAAUGCUUCAUUAAUAUUUUAUGAAUGCAAUAAAUUCACUUCAUGGUUUACAAGGUAAGAGCCAGGGGCAAGGCUGCCAUCUGCUGGUGAAUUUGUGAAAGACAUGUCUCCGGACGCUGAUAGCCUAAGUGUCCCUUUACUCAGUAACCUUGAGAAGGCUCCCCACAUGGGUGCCUGAGUGGCUCAGUCCAUUAAGUGUCUGCUUUCUGCUCUGGUCGUGAUCCCAGCGUCCUGGGACCAAGUCCUACAUCAGGCUCCCUGCUCAGUGGGGAGUCUGCUUUUCCCUCUUCUUUUGCAGCUCUCUGCCAAUUAAUAAAUAAAAUGUUUUGGGGCGCCUGAGUGGCUCAGUGGGUUAAGCCUCUGCGUUCGACUCAGGACAUGAUCUCAGGGUCCUGGGAUGGAGUCCUGGGUCGGGCUCUCUGCUCAGCAGGGAGCCUGCUUCCCCCUCUCUCUCUGCCUGCUUCUCUGCCUACUUGUGAUCACUCUCUC